ACAUCACAUUCAUCAGUAAUAAGAUCCUCAAUCAGCUUCCUGAAUUACCCAAGAGGCACCAGGACAUCACAUUCAUCAGUAGUAUACCCAUGUUAAAGAUCGUUUUUGAGGGGUAUGAGCAUCUCUCUCUGAUCUCCGUCCCUCUCCUCAUCUAUCACCCUGCUCAGAUCCUACUGGGUUCAAUACUGGUACCCACCAUCAAGAGCUGGAUGAACAGCAGACAAAAGCCUAGUAUUUUAUUGCAUUGAUACCUACCUGUCUGGUCUGUGGAGUGAAGUUGACCGACCUACAGCCCAUCUGAAGUGGACUCUCCCAG